rnacentral:snoRNA from 1 species
CGUGAUGAUUCUUUUAAUCUUUCGGGUAUGAAAUGCAAUGAUUUCACUUUCACCGCUGACCAG